rnacentral:rRNA from 1 species
GAUGAACGCUAGCGGCAGGCUUAACACAUGCAAGUCGAGGGGUAUAGGGAGCUUGCUUCCUAGAGACCGGCGCACGGGUGCGUAACGCGUAUGCAAUCUACCUUUUACAGGGGGAUAGCCCAGAGAAAUUUGGAUUAAUACCCCAUGGUAUAUAUGAAUGGCAUCAUUUAUAUAUUAAAGUCACAACGGUAAAAGAUGAG